AUACGUAGGGGGCGAGCGUUGUCCGGAAUGAUUGGGCGUAAAGGGCGCGUAGGCGGCCCGGUAAGUCUGGAGUGAAAGUCCUGUUUUUAAGAUGGGAAUUGCUUUGGAUACUGUCGGGCUUGAGUGCAGGAGAGGUAAGUGGAAUUCCCAGUGUAGCGGUGAAAUGCGUAGAGAUUGGGAGGAACACCAGUGGCGAAGGCGACUUACUGGACUGUAACUGACGCUGAGGCGCGAAAGUGUGGGGAGCAGACAGGAUUAUAUACCCUGGUAGUCCACACUGUAAACGAUGAAUGCUAGGUGUAGGGGGUAUCGACCCCUUCUGUGCCGCAGUUAACACAAUAAGCAUUCCGCCUGGGGAGUACGGCCGCAAGGUUGAAACUCAAAUGAAUUGACGGGG
rnacentral:rRNA from 1 species